AGCGAACGCUGGCGGCAGGCCUAACACAUGCAAGUCGAACGAACCUUUCGGGGUUAGUGGCGGACGGGUGAGUAACACGUGGGAACGUGCCUUUAGGUUCGGAAUAACUCAGGGAAACUUGUGCUAAUACCGAAUGUGCCCUUCGGGGGAAAGAUUAAUCGCCUUUAGAGCGGCCCGCGUCUGAUUAGCUAGUUGGUUGAGGUAAUGGCUCACCAAGGCGACGAUCAGUAGCUGGUCUGAGAGGAUGAUCAGCCACAUUGGGACUGAGACACGGCCCAAAAUCCUACGCGAGGCAGCAGUGGGGAAUCUUGCGAAAUGGGCGAAAGCAUGACGCAGCCAUGACGCGUGAAUGAUGAAGGUCUUAGGAUUGUAAAAUUCUUUCAACGGGGAAGAUAAUGACGGUACCCGGAGAAGAAGCCCCGGCUAACUUCGUG
rnacentral:rRNA from 1 species